GACGAACGCUGGCGGCGUGCCUAAUACAUGCAAGUCGAGCGAACAGACGAGGAGCUUGCUCCUCUGACGUUAGCGGCGGACGGGUGAGUAACACGUGGAUAACCUACCUAUAAGACUGGGAUAACUUCGGGAAACCGGAGCUAAUACCGGAUAAUAUAUUGAACCGCAUGGUUCAAUAGUGAAAGACGGUUUUGCUGUCACUUAUAGAUGGAUCCGCGCCGCAUUAGCUAGUUGGUAGGGUAACGGCUUACCAAGGCAACGAUGCGUAGCCGACCUGAGAGGGUGAUCGGCCACACUGGAACUGAGACACGGUCCAGACUCCUACGGGAGGCAGCAGUAGGGAAUCUUCCGCAAUGGGCGAAAGCCUGACGGAGCAACGCCGCGUGAGUGAUGAAGGUCUUCGGAUCGUAAAACUCUGUUAUUAGGGAAGAACAAAUGUGUAAGUAACUAUGCACGUCUUGACGGUACCUAAUCAGAAAGCCACGGCUAACUACGUG
rnacentral:rRNA from 1 species